rnacentral:rRNA from 1 species
UACGAAGGGGGCUAGCGUUGUUCGGAAUUACUGGGCGUAAAGCGAACGUAGGCGGUGUUCCAUGUCAGAGGUGAAAGCCUGGGGCUCAACUCCAGAAUUGCCUUUGAAACGGGAACGCUUGAGUCCGAGAGAGGGUGGCGGAAUUCCUAGUGUAGAGGUGAAAUUCGUAGAUAUUAGGAAGAACACCAGUGGCGAAGGCGGCCACCUGGCUCGGUACGUGACGCUCAGGUUCGAAAGCGUGGGGAGCAAACAGG